GAUGAACGCUGGCGGCGUGCCUAAUACAUGCAAGUCGAGCGAAUGGAUUAAGAGCUUGCUCUUAUGAAGUUAGCGGCGGACGGGUGAGUAACACGUGGGUAACCUGCCCAUAAGACUGGGAUAACUCCGGGAAACCGGGGCUAAUACCGGAUAACAUUUUGAACCGCAUGGUUCGAAAUUGAAAGGCGGCUUCGGCUGUCAAUUAUGGAUGGACACGCGUCGCAUUAGCUAGUUGGUGAGGUAACGGCUCACCAAGGCAACGAUGCGUAGCCGACCUGAGAGGGCGAUCGGCCACACUGGGACUGAGACACGGCCCAGACUCCUACGGGAGGCAGCAGUAGGGAAUCUUCCGCAAUGGACGAAAGUCUGACGGAGCAACGCCGCGUGAGUGAUGAAGGCUUUCGGGUCGUAAAACUCUGUUGUUAGGGAAGAACAAGUGCUAGUUGAAUAAGCUGGCACCUUGACGGUACCUAACCAGAAAGCCACGGCUAACUACGUGCCAGCCGCCGCCGUAA
rnacentral:rRNA from 1 species